rnacentral:rRNA from 1 species
UACGAAGGGGGCUAGCGUUGUUCGGAAUUACUGGGCGUAAAGCGCGCGCAGGCGGUUCUUCAAGUCAGAGGUGAAAGCCCAGAGCUCAACUCUGGAAUGGCCUUUGAGACUAGAGAACUAGGGUACGGGAGAGGUGAGUGGAAUUCCGAGUGUAGAGGUGAAAAUUCGUAGAUAUUCGGAAGAACACCAGUGGCGAAGGCGGCUCACUGGCCCGGUUACCGACGCUCAGGCGCGACAG